rnacentral:rRNA from 1 species
GACGAACGCUGGCGGCGUGCCUAACACAUGCAUGUCGAACGGGGCCCGCAAGGGUUCAGUGGCGAACGGGUGCGUAACACGUGAAGAACUUGUCCAUCGGCGGGGGAUAGCCGGCCCAACGGCCGGGUAAUACCGCGUACGUCGUUCGGGGCGCAUGCCCUGGACGGGAAAGCAGCAAUGCACCGAUGGAGAGCUUCGCGGCCUAUCAGCUUGUUGGCGGGGUAAUGGCCCACCAAGGCUACGACGGGUAGCUGGUCUGAGAGGAUGACCAGCCACAUUGGGACUGAGACACGGCCCAGACUCCUACGGGAGGCAGCAGUGGGGAAUAUUGCGCAAUGGGGGGAAACCCUGACGCAGCGACGCCGCGUGAGUGAUGAAGGCCCUAGGGUUGUAAAGCUCUUUUAACCCGGGAAGAUAAUGACUGUACCGGGAGAAUAA